rnacentral:rRNA from 1 species
AGCGAACGCUGGCGGCAGGCUUAACACAUGCAAGUCGAGCGCCCCGCAAGGGGAGCGGCAGACGGGUGAGUAACACGUGGGAACGUACCUUUUGGUUCGGAACAACCCAGGGAAACUUGGGCUAAUACCGGAUAAGCCCUCACGGGGAAAGAUUUAUAGCAAAAAGAUCGGCCCGCGUCUGAUUAGCUAGUUGGUGGGGUAAUGGCCCACCAAGGCUACGAUGAGUAGCUGGUCUGAGAGGAUGAUCAGCCACAUUGGGACUGAGACACGGCCCAAACUCCUACGGGGGGCAGCAGUGGGGAAUAUUGGACAAUGGGGGAAACCCUGAUCCAGCCAUGCCGCGUGAGUGAUGAAGGCCUUAGGGUUGUAAAGCUCUUUUAGCAGGGAAGAUAAUGACGGUACCUGCAGAAAAGCCCCGGCUAACUUCGUGCCAGCCGCCGCGGUAA